UUCGCAAUGCCCGAAAGGGUGACGAAGCGACGCCGCGUGUGGGAAGAAGGCCUUCGGGUUGUAAACCACUGUCGGGAGUUAAGAAAUGUAAGGGUGUUAAUAGCGCCUUUACUUGACAAAGGCUCCGGAGGAAGCCACGGCUAACUCUGUGCCAGCAGCCGCGGUAAUACAGAGGCGGCAAGCGUUGUUCGGAAUUAUUGGGCGUAAAGAGCACGUAGGCGGCUUUGCAAGUCAGUUGUGAAAGCCUUCCGCUUAACGGAAGAACAGCAGCUGAUACUACAGAGCUUAAGUACGGGAGGGGAGAGUGGAACUUCUGGUGGAGCGGUGAAAUGCGUAGAUAUCAGAAGGAACGCCGGCGGCGAAAGCGAUUCUCUGGUCCGAAACUGACGCUGAGUGUGCGAAAGCUAGGGGAUCAAACGGGAUUAGAUACCCCGGUAGUCCUAGCCGUAAACGAUGGGCACUAAGUAGAGGGGUUUU
rnacentral:rRNA from 1 species